AACCAAACGCGUCCUUAACAUGUGAGUCAACCUCCCCAUAUGUUUAUUAAGGAAUAACAUUUCCACAGUUGGCACUACUCCAAAAUCAUAAUGAUGAUCAAGAACUAGUUUUUCCAGGCCCUUUCAGAUUCGUAGAGACGAAUAUGGCUUCAACUCUCGAAGGGAUGGCAAUUGUGAUUAUGGGUGUCAGUGGUGCUGGGAAAUCCACUAUAGGUGAGAUGCUGGCCAAAGAGACAAACUGUAGCUUUAUUGAUGCUGAUGACUACCAUCCCCAAUCAAACAAAGAAAAGAUGAGAAAAGGGAUCCCUCUUUCAGAGGAAGAUCGAAUUCCUUGGCUUGAAACACUUCGGAAUGCCUUAAGAGAGAACUUAGUCAGUGGAAGCACUUUAAUUCUUGGUUGUUCAGCCCUGCAGAGGCGAUACCGAGACAUAUUAAGAUCUGCAGACCCUAACUAUGAACCCGGAAGUGAUACCAAUUUGGUGAAGUUCAUCUUGUUGGAUGCCAAGGCACAUAUGCUUGCUGCUCGAUUAGAGAAGAGAGUAGCAGAAGGGAAGCAUUUCAUGCCACCUGAACUUUUGCAGUCUCAGUUAGACUUACUUCAGAUUGAUGAUUCGGAAGGGAUACUUAAAGUCGAUGCUAACAUUACUCCUCAAAACAUAGUAAACACCAUCCGAAGAUUUGUUUUUGUUUCGAAAGUUGUUCAAGAGUGCACACAACGCACAGAAAGCUCCAGACUCUCUGAGAGAACCCCUGAUCGGAAAACACAACCGGACGAGCUCAACUCAACUGAGCAGAUGAAUUGGCGUUCCCUCACUAAGGUUUACAAAGCAGCAGAUUCCAAAUGUGGCUCAUCAUCCUUGUGGUCUCGGAAAUUCGGAGACAAGGCCAAGGCUCCUGAGCUGAAUAGGGACUUCCUUGUAAGGCUAUGGAUGGCGGAUGAGGAAAUCAAGCGGUUUCGUAGAAAAUCGAGGCGGAGGGCUGUUGAGCCGGAGGAGAGUAGCAUGGUUGUGAAGCAGCCGCCUGUGAGCCAAUCCAUCUCCGGAAAUCUGAAGCCGGAAUCUCCUGAAGAGGUCCAGGUGAUGCCUCUUCUUGCUAGAUCAAAUAUGCUUGUUACUAGGGAUAUAGAGUGGGCAAAUCUUAUGCUUGGCUUUGAGCAGGAAAACCGGUAUGCCAUAGUAGAUGUAUGCUAUCCACAAUCGCCUGUAGGUUUCAUUCGUGAGGAGAGUAAUUUUAUCACUAGACAGCUACUUCGCCAGCGGCGUCCUUUUGUUGCUCGAGUAACUGAUGGCAUGGGUAAUGAGCUCUUUAGGGUUCGCAGGCCCUUUUGGUGGAUAAACAGCUCAAUUUAUGCAGAGAUCAAUGGUAAGGAAGUUGGUGUGGUUCACAGACGAUGGGCAUUUGUGGAGAAGGAUAUAUGAUUUGUACCUAGGGAAUACACAAUUUGCUGUUGUUGAAAACCCUGGAUUCUGGCAUUGGACAUUUACUUUGAAGGACAUUGAUGGGGGUGUUUUGGCUGAGAUAGAUCGUGAUUGGAGGGGGUUUGGCUUUGAGCUCUUUACUGAUGCUGGGCAAUAUGUGAUUCGGUUUGGGAACUCUGAUCCCGCCUCUAAGAUUGGCCUUGCUAGCCAGAUUCAAGAGUUGGAAGUAGUUCGCCCACUGACUUUGUCAGAGAGAGCUGUGACUCUUGCUCUUGCUAUAUCACAAAGAAUGCUAAGGCUCCUCCACCUUUUGCAACUGAUCAUCGGAUGCGGUUCAAAUGAGCAUCUCCAUUCGAGUCUACAAACAAAUUAUUUUACGGGGAGGAAGGAGUUGAGCAAUCACUACUUAAGUUUGGAUAAAGGAAUAGGGAGUGUGAAUAUGAAAAUUGACAUUCUGAGAUUUCACUUGGCGCACCGACGACCUGAUCUAAAGGAUUUGGUGGACAGAUUUGUGGAAUCGGUGGAAGAUGAACUCCAGCAAUAUGAGGAGGAACUAGAGAAGACCAGGUUUAAAGUGCUUCAAUUAGUGAAGAAGCACAAAACCAACAUGUUUGGACUUCGAUGGUUACCUGAUUCUUGGAAGGGAACUUUCGUGUCUAUUGGCAUGAAGACAAUGGUCUUUGGUGCGAGACUGAUGAUGCAGUGUCUUGGGUUCGAGACUGAUGCAUUGGUUAAAGAGAUCUAA